GACGAACGCGGCGGCGUGCCUAAUACAUGCAAGUAGAACGCUGAAGGAGGAGCUUGCUUCUCCGGAUGAGUUGCGAACGGGUGAGUAACGCGUAGGUAACCUCCUGGUAGCGGGGGAUAACUAUUGGAAACGAUAGCUAAUACCGCAUAAGAGUAGAUGUUGCAUGACAUUUGCUUAAAAGGUGCAAUUGAUCACUACCAGAUGGACCUGCGUUGUAUUAGCUAGUUGGUGGGGUAACGGCUCACCAAGGCGACGAUACAUAGCCGACCUGAGAGGGUGAUCGGCCACACUGGGACUGAGACACGGCCCAGACUCCUACGGGAGGCAGCAGUAGGGAAUCUUCGGCAAUGGACGAAAGUCUGACCGAGCAACGCCGCGUGAGUGAAGAAGGUUUUCGGAUCGUAAAGCUCUGUUGUAAGAGAAGAACGAGUGUGAGAGUGGAAAGUUCACACUGUGAUGGAUCUACCAGAAAAGGACGCA
rnacentral:rRNA from 1 species